UCCCUAUAUAAAUUCAUGGGUCUAUAUAGGGCUACUACGCUCGCGUCCAACACUCACGUCACGCCUUAAUGCGGUGCUACACUACGCCAUCAAGGUGGACAGACGGGUGUAUAAAUAUGUGUCCAUACCCCCUAUAUGAAUUAAACACUCAAAUAGGGCUACUACGCUUACGUCCAACGCUCACGUCACACCAUAAUGCGGCUAUAUGCUACGCCAUUAAGGUGGACAGACACAUAUGGCUAGCUAGCAUUUAUAUACAUACUCUCUCAUAAAUACAUAUUUAUAUCCACCGAAAAUCCCAUUUUCGGUAACUCUCCAAAAGAAAUAAAAAUCGUCAAAUUAAAAUGACGUUAAAAUAUUCCGCAACGUUAAUUGUUCAACCAUGAACCAUAGCAUGCAUUUAUUUAAAAUAAACGUCCACUCACAAAUUAGGCCUAAGCCUGAUGUCGAUCUGGGGUCUCGUCUGCUCGAGCCUCCUCACGUCCUGUUCCAAAUAUAAUAUUAAUUUCCCAACCAAUAAUCCAAUAUUUAAUCAAAAUAGGCAAAAUUACCCGAGAGCCAUAAAUACGCUCAUCCUUGCCUAACUUCGAUAUUCUUAAAUCGGAACGAUCCGAACUUAAAUAUCAUACUCAACAGUCGUAAAUACAACCUCCCCAAAAUACGACUUAAAUCCUACGGCCGGAUUCUACAUUAAUUAACCGUCAAAAAUACCAAACUUCGGAAAUUCACAAACCUAUCCAAAUCUCAUCCAAAAAUUCCAUAAUUCACAUCAAUAUACUCCUCUUAAUAUUCCACACUUAAAACCCUAAAAAUCUCCUAACCGGCGGCGGCUCCGCCGGCAGCGGCGGCCGGAGGCCAAUUCCGGCGACCUCCAAAACCUAUGAAAUUUUGACAAAAUAAUCUCCUCAUCAUGCUCUACAACUUUCCUGACCAACACAUCACCCAAAUCCAAGCCUAACUAGGCUAAUCGAACAAAAAUAUCCUAAAAGCCUUAGAAAUUUCAACUCCACAUUUCUCCUUACCUAGCUCAAGAGGGAGUGAGCUGAUUGGAGGGGUUGUUGCACGGAGGAGGGCUACAAAACGAGCCAAGGAUCACCGGUUUUGGUGGCCGGAGGAGGGAGCUCCGGCGAGAGAACCACCACGGCAGCUAGCGGCUCCGGCCGACGUUUCUCUCUCACGGCGGCGCUAGGGGAGCUGCUACCGGCCUAGAAUGGAAGCUGGGUUGGAGACCGAUCGAUUGGGACCGGUGCGGCGGUCUGGGGCGGCCGAACGGCGGCGGUCGGGCGGUUAGAAUUCCGGCAGGGAAAGGCUCGGGUGCGGGAGCGGGAGAGGAGAGAGAGAAUCGGGAGAAAAAGAGAGGAAAAGAGAAUGGGUUUGGGCCUCACACCCCAAACCGGUCCAUCACCUAUAUACUACCCAAUUCUAAAAUAAAACACCCCGAAAAAUAAUACCCGAAUAAAAAUUACCUUUUACUAGCUAAAAUUUACUAUUUUUACCGUCGUCGUAUUUUCCUCUCACGAAUAAUCCUCAGCACAAUAAUCGUCCCCGAAACCCCUCUAGGGACCAAUCAAGCUAUUAACUCAAUGAUCGAGACGGUAAAAUUCUUAUUAUAAUCACGCUAGUAAAUAAGGUAAAAAUAUAAGGGUCGGGAUGUGACAAGAUCGAUCUAAGGAGUUGGAAGAGGGAGGAGAGGGAGAGGAGGAGGAGAAGAGGGAGAGGAAAGAGAGAGUGAGUGGGUUUGUUUCGGUGGGGAAGAGAAAGAAAAAGUUAUUGGGUGAAGUUCUUGGUGAGAGAAAGAAGAAGAUAAGAUGUUUGAGGGGAGUAGGUUAAAGAGAGAGCUAAAAAUUUAAAGGAGGUUUGAAAUUUUCCGAAAUUUUUGGCGGAAACAGACUUUAGCCGACGAAACUUGUGAAAUUCGUCGGCUAAAGUAAUGAAGCUCGUCGGCUAAAGUCCUUUGAAAAUUUUGAAAAUUUUCUCCCAAAUUUGGUUUGCCGUCAAAUAUUUUUUCGACUUUAGCCGACGACUUUUCAUAUAUUUCCGUCGGCUAAAGUCAUUUGAAAAUUUUCCUCCAAAUUUGGUUUACCGCCAAACAAUUUUUGACCUUAGCCGACGACUUUUUUAAUAUCUCGUCGGCUAAAGUCUAUAAAUUCACGAAAACGCUCGUAUCUCCCUCUAUAUUACAUAGUUUGGUCAAACCUUCCACACGAAAAACUCUCAUGUAGAUGAGACGCAACCGCCUAUAUAAAAUUUUUGAGACAUUUACCUUCUGACGAUAGGGCUCCCCAUAAGGAAUAAUAACGGUAAAUAUGGUUGACCGGUACUAUCUGCACCGAGACGUUACCCGAUUUACGUGAUUUUUGAACCAUAGCCGUAUUUCACCAUUAUGAACACAUCUUAUUUCACGAGAUUUUUGAUAAUUUUGCUUCCUAUGUAGAGUUGGUUUACAAAGUUGUAUAACCUACUAAACAAGUUAUACAACAUUAGUAGACACGUUGUGAUUCCGAUGACUAAAAUUCACAAACCAAAAUUUGACCGUCAGAUAUGAUCAUUAUGAC
rnacentral:lncRNA from 1 species